GAUGAACGCUGGCGGCGUGCCUAAUACAUGCAAGUAGAACGCUGAAGGAAGGAGCUUGCUCUUUCCGGAUGAGUUGCGAACGGGUGAGUAACGCGUAGGUAACCUGCCUGGUAGCGGGGGAUAACUAUUGGAAACGAUAGCUAAUACCGCAUAACAGUAGAUGUUGCAUGAUAUCUACUUAAAAGGUGCAAUUGCACCACUACCAGAUGGACCUGCGUUGUAUUAGCUAGUUGGUGAGGUAACGGCUCACCAAGGCGACGAUACAUAGCCGACCUGAGAGGGUGAUCGGCCACACUGGGACUGAGACACGGCCCAGACUCCUACGGGAGGCAGCAGUAGGGAAUCUUCGGCAAUAGACGGAAGUCUGACCGAGCAACGCCGCGUGAGGGAAGAAGGUUUUCGGAUCGUAAAGCUCUGUUGUAAGAGAAGAACGAGUGUGAGAGUGGAAAGUUCACACUGUGACGGUAUCUUACCAGAAAGGGACGGCUAACUACGUG
rnacentral:rRNA from 1 species